UUCUACAGGUGAAAAGGAUUUUUAUAAGAUACAAGACCCUAUAAAAGUAAGAGAUGCUGAAUGUAUCUGGAAAGAGCAGCUUUACUGCAACCUGUGUUAACCAUAGGAGAAAUGUGUUGAAACUGAAAAUUCUCCUGCUGUGCACAAGUUUUAGAACUGAUUUCAUAUCAGAUUCGGCUCGGGAGGCAUUUGCACCCAGAAGCACUGCUGUAUCAACCAUGAACUUCAAAAAGGCAUCUCGGUACUGCAAAGAAAGAGGAAGACUGAAAUGACAACAGGAUUUGCUCUUGAGAAAAUUUGCUCUUGAGAGUUGCAGCAAGAGACCAGAAAUGCCCAGACAAAAAGUCUUCUUCAUGCAACCGAUGAGUCAUAAGCAGCACACAGAAUUAGAUACUGAGUUCUGAUUCUCCUGCACAUAGACCCUGGCUAUUGGUCUACUGGGACAUUUUUAUGGGUUUUUUCCAUUUGAAAGAAGAAAACCUGUACAGAAAUACUUUUCAAUAGCAUGUGGUUGCUAGUGACUUCUACAUUCCCAUAAACAGGCACCUACAUGCAUCUGUAAGCCAGCAGAUAACAACAAUCAAAUGUAAACAUUUGGUACGUAAAUGUGUUUUAAAAAAAGAGACCAUAAAACAGCAUGCAAAGUGACCUGUUAGAAAUGCUGCACUCUACCUUCAGGAUAUAGCGGUGGGAGAUUUUGUCAUCGGCAGCCACAUACAAACGGAUGAAGACAGAGCUGCUGUAUUGGCCACGAAGAGUUGCCAAGGCUUGGACCAAGCUGAACUUCCUCUCUGACCACAGUCCUUCAGGCCCAAUAUUGGAUUCCAGCACAGGCCAGCGGAAAGGUGAAUGCUUCAGGAUACUUAACAGGGGUUUCACAUCGGCUUUUUCAAUUUUAUCUGAAAUGCCCAAGUGUAACAACAAUUACAUUCCAGACAAUUCAAGUCCAGCAGCAGCCACACAAGACAAAGAUUUAUUGGCAUCGAUUGACUUCCAGGCAAGGCAAUCACAAUAGCUGAAACUCAAAGCCUCUGCUCUGCCUGUGAGCAGGGCAGCAUAGAAGUCCAACCCUGUUUAUCUGUAUCAAGAAUAAGAGAGGCAAGUCAGCACAUUUCCAAAAAGGCAAAGGAUAGAAUUAGGUAAAUUUUUUUAAAAAACACUCUUUGCUUAGGAACUAGCAUAAAAAUUUUACUGGUUUUAGGGAAAUUUUGGGGGUUAUUGCUCAUAAUCAAGUCCAGAGGGGCAAUAUCUGGGCACCAAGGUUAUAGAGCAGGCUGUCUCACUUGCUGGCAGUCAGAUGGGCCAUGCUGUGUGCAGGAAAUAAAUCCUGAAAUAGUCAGAAGGACAAAGGGGACUUCCAAGCCUUCUUUCACCUGUGUAGCUACCUAAGAGUAGUGAUAUAUCCCGAAUUAGUGAACAUUACCUUACAGCAUUUACAAACUGAGGAAAAGCACUCUGCUAACAUGGCUAACUUUCUUGACAUGCAGAUACCAAAGCUAAAGAGUCAGGACUGUCUAUACCCAGCCCUGGGGUAGUGUUUUGAUUAAACAGAUUUAGAGAAAUGUAGAAGGUGAUGAGCAACAGGCACUUGAAAAUAUCAGUAUGAGAAUUUCAUCAGAGUAUUCCUCUGAUUUAAUAAUCCCAGGCACUAACCCCACAACCGUGGGGCACAGUUUAACAUCCUUUUGCACAGAUAAAUAUCUCUUCACAGUUCUGACAAGCAGAGGUUUCUCUAAAACUGACUUGCACCUGAGUGUAUCACAGUCUCAGUUCACAGCUUCAACCCCUGCUGAAUCCAUAUCAGUACAAUCCAUGCAUCUGCAUAGAGCUUCACAGAGCUCUGCAGAGAGACAAAAGCCUGCCUUUAUAAAUGCAGGAAAUGCAUCUGUGACCUCCUCAAAUCAAUCUACUUACCCUCAUUCAUGCAGGAUGCAUAAAGGAUCUUGGCCUUCUGUACAGCUUCACUGUCUCGUCUUUUGCUGAUGGGUUUCUCUAGCAAUGCUGAAAAAAACAAAUAAUUUUUUUCAAUACUUUGGAAAAUGCAGACACUGCUUGCCUGUUUCAGCAUUUUGUAUAAUCACAGGAUUUGUUUAAUUAAUUAUGAGGCUCCAUGUGUACUUUCUUAAGUAGUAGCAUAAACAUAAUUGCAACUUUUUCAAUCCCCAACAGAGAAGGAUUUUUUACUUAUUUAUUUUAAAAAGAACUGAUAUAAAGCACUAAAUGAUCGAUGCAGC